UACAGAGGGUGCGAGCGUUAAUCGGAAUUACUGGGCGUAAAGCGUGCGUAGGCGGAUAUUUAAGUCGAAUGUGAAAUCCCCGGGCUCAACCUGGGAACUGCAUCCGAUACUGGAUAUCUGGAGUAUGGUAGAGGAAAGUGGAAUUCCCGGUGUAGCGGUGAAAUGCGUAGAUAUCGGGAGGAACAUCAGUGGCGAAGGCGGCUUUCUGGACCAAUACUGACGCUGAGGCACGAAAGCGUGGGGAGCAAACAGG
rnacentral:rRNA from 1 species